rnacentral:rRNA from 1 species
AUUGAACGCUGGCGGCAGGCUUAACACAUGCAAGUCGAGCGGGGGAAGGUAGCUUGCUACCGGACCUAGCGGCGGACGGGUGAGUAAUGCUUAGGAAUCUGCCUAUUAGUGGGGGACAGCAUCUCGAAAGGGAUGCUAAUACCGCAUACGGCCUACGGGAGAAAGCAGGGGAUCUUCGGACCUCGCGCUAAUAGAUGAGCCUAAGUCGGAUUAGCUAGUUGGUGGGGUAAAGGCCUACCAAGGCGAGGAUCUGUAGGGGGUCUGAGAGGAUGAUCCGCCACACUGGGACUGGGACACGGCCCAGACUCCUACGGGAGGCAGCAGUGGGGAAUAUUGGACAAUGGGGGGAACCCUGAUCCAGCCAUGCCGCGUGUGUGAAGAAGGCCUUAUGGUUGUAAAGCACUUUAAGCGAGGAGGAGGCUACUCUAGUUAAUACCUAGGGAUAGUGGACGUUACUCGCAGAAUAAGCACCGGCUAACUCUGUGCCAGCAGCCGCGGUAA